AUGGAAGUGAUGAUUAUUUCCCCAGAUGAUCGAAGCUGAACAUACUGUGCGAUUUGUUUUUUUUUCUCUAAUUCGUUAGAGAUUCCAAGCCAGUACUCUGAUCCAU